ACACCACCAGAUUCUUAACACACCGGGCCACCAGGGAACUCCCUAAGCCUUUACUUUCCUACUUUAAAUUAUUAGACACACACACACACACACACACACACACAUCCCUUGGGGGACAGAUGUAACAGGAACCAGUAAAAGAGUGUGUUCUCAACAGGCUGCAGCAAAAUUGCUGCUUCCUAGGCCCAGGCAAGGCAGUGUUCCUCAUUCUUUAAGGGGCUCCAGGGUAAGGAGGUUUCUGCAACCAGCUCUGUCCGGCUCAGCCCUUGGCACCUGGUGCACCUUAUUUGUCAUAGACUGAAGCCUGUUAUCUGGCCCUUUCCUCCUGGGACCCACUCUCCCCACAAAGGAAGGCUUGAGACCCAGGACUUCCAUGUCCCCACCACUGGUAUUACAUCAGCGGGGGGGACCCUAACCUACAACGCCUCUUGCUCCAGAAACACCUGCCAGGGUUGGGGGCAGGGGGACAUGGGGGUGAUGCCUUUCAUUGGGUUUGACAGGAAGUUGGAAGAGAAAUGACCACCUUGUUACUGACGUGUCCACUGUGAUUUUAACCAUGGGACUUCAAAAUGUCCUGUGGAUAGUAUAUCUGAGCCAACAGUACUCAAGGGCUGAUUAAUCAGGGUAAAUCAACAGCAUGACAUUUUCCAUCCAGCCCACCACGUCUACCUCAAUGUCUUACUUUCUAUUUACUAGAGACAAGUAUCUGCCAGAUCAAUGUAUUUACAAUAAAUUGAUUGUUUUGUCUGCAAUUAAUUUACAGAUUAUCUGCAAGUUUUCCUUACAGAAAAACUUUGAGAGACCUCUGGAUAAGAAACAUCUAUUCGAAAGUAUACACAAUAAUUAGUUGCUAUGUGAUACAAGGAUAUUUAUUUCAAUUCCACUUUAAUUCUAAGACAAAAUGUCCAAGUUCCUCUACUCCUCCACAAGCAUCUAAUCCUCAGUGGAAAUAUAUACCAUGAAUAUAAGGGAUCAUAAAAUAUGAUGAAAGGGUGGUAGUGUAUCAGUCUCUUAGCUGCCUGUAAUGAGAGCUGAAAGAAAAAAGAGCUGAGUGUGAAGGCCACGGGCACCUUCGCAUGCAGUUACUCAACCCGCCUUGUAAAUACACAGAGCCAAACACACACACUGCCCGACAGGGAGCAAUUCCCAUGGCUACACUCACGAGGCUGGCAAUGCCAUUCAUACGGGCACCCCUGGAAUCUUUCCUUUCAGCCCAGAUUAUUCAAAAAAGCACGGUGGGGACCAAGAUGGAACUCUUAAGAGGUGUUUUGUAGGAAAUCAGAGGCAGUCUUCUGGCUGUGUGAGCUUCAACUCUAGAAAUAGAUACACAAAGUCCUGAGCCUUGCCCUCUCUCGCCAGAAUGUGUCUCCUUCCACUGUUGCUCUGUCAGCAGUAGGUCCAUUCCUGUUCCAUAGAAAACAUCAGAUGCAAGUGAGAGCGAAGCCACCUGAAGCCAGGACCCGAAGAACCAGAUGCUGAGGAUGCCCGGCUGCCAUGCCUUCACCACCACCGCACAGGCAGGCCACAGCCCCUGAGCCGCUGCAACUCUCAACCCGUGAAAGAAAGGCUUUCCUGCCUGUAAGAAAGGGUUUGGACUGGAUUAAUUCAUUUGAGGAAUACUGAGUGAGCGCCCAAUGCGUGAAAGGCUUCAGGCCAGGCAGGCUCCAUGGGGAGGAGAGAUGGCUAAAAGCAGUAGGACCAGCUCUGAGGUGCUCUCCUGAUACAUAAACAAUGUGCUGGACAUAGGGAAGUGGGCAAGGGGACCCCAGGAGCUCCACCUCAGUCCCCAUCAGCUGCCCUGAGAAGUGAGGGGGGGGUAUCUGUCCAUGUGCAGCUGUAACCCACCCACAGAGAUUCAUCAGUGGGCUGGGAGGCUCUGGGCUAGAUGUGCACAGACGGUCCCCAGCCUCAGGGGAUGUGUACCCCUUCAGAGACUCCUGAUGACAGCACUCUCCACAUUCGGAGCCCACAACCUCUCUCUGGAAGUCUGCCGUCCUGGUGCCUUGCCCUGCUGAUCACACGGGUCCACCUCUGUGAGACCAUGGCCGGAAAGGGGGUUGGGGGGCAGGGCAGGGUGAAGGAGGAAGGAAGAGAAAAGGCAAUACUGGCAGGAAUUAGAGGAUGAUAUCUACCAGAGAUUUGGAGCUGGGAACCACUGAUGCUGUCAUCCACCUGGCAGACAAAGUUGCUGGCUGAGGGCCAAGAGCCACAGGUAUCUAUGGCUGUGGAAAGCUGAUUCUUUCAGCAAAUACUGUUGGAGAUUCAGGCAAAUAAGACCGAGGGUCCAUCCUCAAGGAGCUCACUGAGCAAUGGAUUCACAAUGACUUCUUAAGAACACCACCCAGACUCAUUUGUUGGGCCUUUUUUUUUUUCCUUUUUGUCUUUUUGCCUUUUCUAGGGCCACACCUGCCACAUAUGGAGGUUCCCAGGCUAGGGGUCUAAUCAGAGCCACAGCUGCCGGCCUACGCAAGAGCCACAGCAACACCAGAUCCGAACUGCAUCUGCAACCUACACCACAGCUCACAGCAAUGCCGGAUCCUUAACCCACUGAGCAAGGCCAGGGAUCGAACCCGAAACCUCACAGUUCCUAGUUGGAUUCAUUAACCACUGAGCCACGACGGAAAUUCCUAUUGGGCUUCUUAAAUGAUACUGGGAAAUACAGCCACCAUAUUGGGCUAUAUUUUCCAAUGAUAUUAAGCUAUCUUUCUAUCCAGGUAAGUCAGGGAAAACAAGCAACCUGAGAACUCAAAAAUCAACACCCAAAAGCAACUUGGUGAAGGCUGAGGCCAUGACUUGGGCACGCGUAUACUUCACUAACGGGUUAAGUGGACGGACAUAAGAAAGGGAAAACCUAGAAAGUCUCCAGAGAAACAUAAAAUGGUCAUGUACUGUAAGUCCAUGCCCUACAAGUGUCCUUUUUCAGUAAAGAAAACUGAGCAGUGACCUGACCCCAAACUAUCAGAGGAAGAAAAGCCCAAGACUAAGCAGCAGGAAAAAUAUGACUCUGUUUGCCAGAUAAAAUAGGAAAUAUCUGCAGCUGGAUUACCUCUGCGUCAGUCACAAAGGGUCAGUCUACUCGGCACGUAACCGAGUUUCUCAGCUUCAACUGAGUCCCUUCAUCCAAAUUAAGCCAUCUUGUUUCUGAUUCAUAAAAUACUGUUUCACAGUAAAGUGAGUCACUUCAUUACUACCUAAUGUAACAUA
rnacentral:lncRNA from 1 species